ensembl:lncRNA
UUUAGGGUGUGCAAGACUUAACUGGUGGGCUGGAGAGCUUGCGGCGAGCCUGUCAAGUGACUAAUGACUACUGAACAGGAAAAGAGGAGCAAAAACAGCUAUUCUCACAAUUAAUGAAAGGCGGACGAUAUAAAGUGGCACGGUGUCUUUUUUAGUUGAGUUUGUGCCUAUGUGUAUGCGCUGCGCACACUGUGUUCUGGAAAAUCUGCAAUGCCACGCAAACACCAGAAGAGCUCAUGUUUUAUUCAGUGAAGCUGGGAGGCUUGCACAGAACCCUGACAUAAAAUACCGUGGACACAAGCAGGCCCGCUGGGCCAUGGCCGGAUGUUCAGACAGUGCAGUGGAGCAAAGAAACGCUUUGCCCAGCUCAAGGACCAAACAAUGAACAAUUAAAGUGAAAUGAUUGUGAUUCUGUAGCACACAUGGAACAGCAAUCUAGAAAUGAUUCAUUGAGGCAGGAUUGCUGGCCUUUCAAGCUUACACACAAAAUAGAACAAAGUCAUUUUAGACAGUGAAGUUUGCUUAUUUAAGCUUAAGGCUUUAAAAAUCCUUCAAAAUGGCUGAAAAAUCCAAAAGACAAAAAUCAUGCUUAUAUUUUAAAGAAUCAAAAAGAACAUUCAGAUCAGACUGCUCAGAUAAAUAGCAGGCUUGAAUUGCUCCAAAGGAUCAGCUGCAGUCUGUUUUAAGUAUUUCUUGAAGAGCUUCUCUGAAUACUGGUCUGUUCAUUGUGGUCUGAGAGUACUGAGAGUAACUGCGAUAUAUGCUCAAUUUGACCUGCCUUCGAGAUCUUGAUAGUUCACCCCAAAAAUUCAAAACUUAAAUAAAAUAAAAAUAAAAAUAAUAAGUUAAAUAAAAAGUAAAUAAAAACCCAGUGUUGUUAUUGUUAACUAAAACUAAAGCCAAAACUAUUAAAAUAAAAUAAAAAAACUAACAUAAAAGAAAAAUAUAAAUAUUGGUUUAAAAACAAAAUAAAAAGGAGGAAUGUUACUUUAGCCACUAACUAAAAUAAAUGUAUAAGUAUUAAACUGAAAUAACAAUAAAGCUAAAUAGAAGAAUUAAUGUAAAAAUGAAUUAAAAUAAAAAAGCUAAAUCGGAAUGUUAAAUAAAAAACACCUAAUUAAAAAUCAAAUAAUAAAAUGACUAAAUCUAAAAUUAAAAUAUAAAAUGCAUUUUUUUUAAAUAGUGAUAAAUAUUAAUAACAACUUAAAUCGUAUAUAAAUCAUAUUAAAAAAUAGGGAUGAGAACAUGUUUAAUCAUAUUCAAUAUAGUUACAGUUUCUAAACUUGUGAAUACACCACACCACAUGUUGAAAUCCAGCUUGUGUCAGAGCGUAUGCUUCUAACGCUCUUGAUCCUGUGAGUCAGAGCUGGGACCAGCCCUCAUUGUUUGUCAAGCAGAGAUGCCCUUUCUGUUCAUUGUCCUCUCCUCCCUCUCUAUUCUUCUGCUCUACAGGAUUCUCCCAAUAUCAACAAGUGCCAAAAAAUUAUGCAGAUCACCCCAGCUACCUGCAGGCUUUGAGCAGCUCCAUGAAUCAGACCUGAGAGUACAUGCAGAGGAGGUAUCUCAUUUCUCCUGCAAUAUACUUGCUUAGUGAGACAUGAAAACAGAGCACAAGACUGACUCAUGUGCCAACCUGCAACAUAUCUGCAACAGACACACAUUUAUAUGUGACUUCUGUGCCAUCAUAUUUUAUUUGAACAUUCCAGACAGAAAUGCUUCAGCCACAAAAGAUGUCCCUGAUGAUCGAUUUUUAAAUGAUUUCUUAUGAUAAAAUACUGUUUUUUAGCUAUUUACUAAAGUCUUGGCCAUUGUCUGCCAUAAUACAACAAAUGAAUGUAAAAAAAAAAUAUAUUCAUUAUGGGAUUUUCAUUAUGUAAAUAGUUGUUUAAUUUACAUUUAGUCACUUAGCAAAUGGUAAAAAGAGAAAAGGCACAUUAUGGUGAUUAGUGUUGCCUUUUGGCUGAGAGCUGGGCCCUUACUUUUAAUUAGUUUUCUUUUACUUCAAUUGGAGCAUUUGAUUCAGAUCUUGUGUUUUCUUUCUUGGUUUGGAUCCCUAGAAUACAAUCUGGCCCAGCAGACCAAAGAAACAACCAAUAUCCCUGUUAGUCUCUCUCAGUGAGAUAAGUUGAUAAGUGAUAGAUAUGUUGAUAUCCAUAAACCAGCCUUAAUGGAUAUUUGGAGAUAAAAUAUGUGAGUCAGCAUGUCGCUGUUAUUCAUAAUCUGAACAUGCCAUUUUAAUCUAAAAACAAGCUUUUUAAUGACUCUUCUGUGAAACAGAUGCAUGGCAAUAUUGUUUUCCAGACUCAGCCUUGAUUCCCCCUCAAAACAACACACAGAAAUGUUUGAGUUUUUUAAAUGUCUCUUUUGCUCAAAGAUACAGUGAUUACAAAUGUAUAAUAAUAAUUAAUAAAAUAAAUAUCAUUUAUUUCUGUGAUAGCAAGGCUGAAUCUUCAGCAGCCAUUACUGUAGUCUUCAGCUUCACAUGAUUAUUAUAAAUAGAAUGUUUAAAAAAGUAUUUUUGACCAAUUAAA